CCUACGGGUGGCUGCAGUGGGGGAUAUUGGACAAUGGGGGAAACCCUGAUCCAGCGAUGCCGCGUGAGGGAAGAAGGUUUUCGGAUUGUAAACCUCUGUGGAGGGGGACGAUAAUGACGGUACCCCUUUAGGAAGCCACGGCUAACUACGUGCCAGCAGCCGCGGUAAUACGGAAGGUCCGGGCGUUAUCCGGAUUUAUUGGGUUUAAAGGGAGCGUAGGCCGCAUGUCAAGCGUGCUGUGAAAUGUCCGGGCUCAACCCGGGCCUUGCAGCGCGAACUGGCGUGCUUGAGUCCGCGGAAAGCAGGCGGAAUUCGUCGUGUAGCGGUGAAAUGCUUAGAUAUGACGAAGAACCCCGAUUGCGAAGGCAGCUUGCUGCAGCGGAACUGACGCUGAUGCUCGAAAGCGCGGGUAUCGAACAGGAUUAGAUACCCCGGUAGUC
rnacentral:rRNA from 1 species